rnacentral:rRNA from 1 species
CCUACGGGGGGCUGCAGUGGGGAAUAUUGCACAAUGGGCGCAAGCCUGAUGCAGCCAUGCCGCGUGUGUGAAGAAGGCCUUCGGGUUGUAAAGCACUCUCAGCGGGGAGGAAGGCGGUGAGGUUAAUAACCUCAUCGAUUGACGUUACCCGCAGAAGAAGCACCGGCUAACUCCGUGCCAGCAGCCGCGGUAAUACGGAGGGUGCAAGCGUUAAUCGGAAUUACUGGGCGUAAAGCGCACGCAGGCGGUCUGUCAAGUCGGAUGUGAAAUCCCCGGGCUCAACCUGGGAACUGCAUUCGAAACUGGCAGGCUAGAGUCUUGUAGAGGGGGGUAGAAUUCCAGGUGUAGCGGUGAAAUGCGUAGAGAUCUGGAGGAAUACCGGUGGCGAAGGCGGCCCCCUGGACAAAGACUGACGCUCAGGUGCGAAAGCGUGUGGAGCAAACAGGAUUAGAUACCCUAGUAGUC